rnacentral:rRNA from 1 species
GACUAACGGCUUGGCGGCGUGCCUAACACAUGCAAGUCGAACGGCCCCUUCGGGGUUAGUGGCAGACGGGUGAGUAACACGUUAGGUAAUGUGCCCUCUUGCCGGGGAUAUCUGUUGGAAACGGCAGUUAAUACCGGAUGGUCCAACUUUGAGGCAUCUCUUAAGUUGGUAAACUGAUUUAGGGUGAGAGGAGCAGCUUGCGGACCAUCAGCUAGUUGGUGAGGUAAUGGCCCACCAAGGCAACGACGGUUAGCCGGUCUGAGAGGAUGAUCGGCCACACUGGAACUGAGACACGGUCCAGACUCCUACGGGAGGCAGCAGUGAGGAAUAUUGCGCAAUGGGCGAAAGCCUGACGCAGCGACGCCGCGUGAGGGACGACGGCCUUCGGGUUGUAAACCUCUGUCAGUAGGGAAGAGAACGGACGGUACCUACUGAGGAAGCAUCGGCUUACUACGUG